AGAGCAAGAAGAGCGAGAGCAAAAAAAGAGAAAGGCAAUGCAAAAGCCUAUGCGUAUGCCCUCAACUUCUCCCACCUCUUUGCUUCUCCCUUCUUUUCUUUCUUCUUCUUC
rnacentral:ribozyme from 13 species